rnacentral:rRNA from 1 species
CAGGGGUGACACGGAAUGGGAGCCGGCCGCGGAGGUGGUUUUCCGUGGUCAAGCACGCAGCCAGUCAUGUAGGCAAAUCCGCAUGGCGUGCAUGGCGAGGUGUGAUGAUGGGAGCCGUUAUGGUUCGAUAUCCGGUUGUCCAGGCCGUCGAGAAAAGCCUCGGCGUGAGGGCCAUGGCCGCCCGUACCCCAAACCGACACUGGUGGUCAGGUAGAGAAUACCAAGGCGAUCGAGCGAAUCCUGGUCAAGGAACUCGGCAAAUCACUCCCGUGCCUUCGGUAUAAGGGAGACCCACUGGGGUGAAGGACCUUGCGUCCGGAGCUUUGGUGGGUGGCACAGACCAGGGGGUAGCGACUGUUUACCAAAAACACAGGUGCAUGCGAAGGCGAAAGCCGCUGUAUAUGCACUGACGCCUGCCCGGUGCCGGAAGGUUAAGAGGAUCCGUCAGCCUUCGGGUGAAGCGGUGAAUUCAAGCCCCGGUAAACGGCGGUGGUAACUAUAACCAUCCUAAGGUAGCGAAAUUCCUUGUCGGGUAAGUUCCGACCUGCACGAAUGGCGUAACGACUUCCCCACUGUCUCGACCAGGAGCUCGGCGAAAUUGCAGUACGAGUAAAGAUGCUCGUUAAGCGCAGAAGGACGAAAAGACCCCGGGACCUUUACUAUACCUUGGUAUUGGCGUUAGGCGCGGAUUGUGUAGCAUAGGCGGGAGGCUUCGAAGCGGGUGCGCCAGCAUUCGUGGAGCCGCAAGGUGAAAUACCGCUCUGUUCUCGUUUGACGUCUAACCUCGACAAGUCAUCCUUGUCAGGGACAGUGCCUGGCGGGUAGUUCAACUGGGGCGGUUGCCUCCCAAAGAGUAACGGAGGCGCUCAAAGGUCCGCUCAGCCCGGUUGGCAAUCGGGUGUCGAGUGUAAUCGCACAAGCGGGCUUGACUGCGAGGACGACGGUCCGAGCAGGGACGAAAGUCGGAGAUAGUGAUCCGGUGCCGGCGCACGGGCGCGGCAUCGCUCAACGGAUAAAAGGUACCCCGGGGAUAACAGGCUGAUCAUUCCCAAGAGUCCAUAUCGACGGGAUGGUUUGGCACCUCGAUGUCGGCUCGUCGCAUCCUGGGGCUGGAGCAGGUCCCAAGGGUUCGGCUGUUCGCCGAUUAAAGCGGCACGCGAGCUGGGUUCAGAACGUCGUGAGACAGUUUGGUCUCUAUCCUCUGCGCUCGUUGGAAUCCUGAGGAGGCCUGCCCAUAGUACGAGAGGACCUGGGUGGACGAACCUCUGGUAUGCCGGUUGUCGCGCCAGCGGCACGGCCGGUUGGCUACGUUCGGGAGGGAUAACCGCUGAAAGCAUCUAAGCGGGAAGCCUGCUCCAAGAUUAGGAUUCC